rnacentral:lncRNA from 8 species
AUGGGCACCCUCAUAGAUAUUAUCCUGACCAACUUGUCCUCCAAAUACACCUCUGCUGUUUUCAAUCAGGAUCUCAGUGAUCACUGCCUCAUUGCCUGCAUCUGCUAUGGGUCCGCAGUCAAACGACCACCCCUCAUCACUGUCAACCGCUCCCUAAAACACUUCUGCGAGCAGGCCUUUCUAAUCGACCUGGCCCGGGUAUCCUGGAAGGAUUUUGACCUCAUCCCGUCAGUCGAGGAUGCCUGGUCGUUCUUUAAAAGUGCCUUCCUCACCAUUUUAAAUAAGCAUGCCCCUUUCAAAAAAUGUAAAACUAACAACAGAUAUAGCCCUUGGUUCAUUCCAGACCUGACUGCCCUCGACCAGCACAAAAACAUCCUCUGGCGGACUGCACUAGCAUCGAAUAGUCCCCGCGAUAUGCAACUUUUCAGGGAAGUCAGGAACCAAUACAUUCAGUCAGUCAGGAAAGCAAAGGGUAGCUUUUUCAAACAGAAAUUUGCAUCCUGUAGCUCUAACUCCAAAAAGUUUAGGGACACUGUAAAGUCCAUGGAGAAUAAGAGCACCUCCUCCCAGCUGCCCACUGCACUGAGGCUAGGAAACACUGUCACCACCGAUAAAUCCACGAUAAUCAAGAAUUUCAAUAAGCAUUUCUCUACGGCUGGCCAUGCUUUCCUCCUGGCUACCCCAACCCUGGCCAACAGCUCCGCACCCCCCGCAGCUACUUGCCCAAACCUCCCCAGCUUCUCCUUCACCCAAAUCCAGAUAGCAGAUGUUCUGAAAGAGCUGCAAAACCUGGACCCGUACAAAUCAGCUGGGCUAGACAAUCUGGACCUUCUCUUUCUAAAAUUAUCCGCCGCCAUUGUUGCAACCCCUAUUACCUGUCUGUUCAACCUCUCUUUCGUAUUGUCCGAGAUCCCUAAAGAUUGGAAAGCUGCCGCAGUCAUCCCCCUCUUCAAAGGGGAUGACACUCUAGACCCAAACUGUUUUAGACCUAUAUCCAUCCUGCUCUGCCUUUCUAAAGUCUUCGAAAGCCAAGUUAAUAAACAGAUCACUGACAAUUUCGAAUACCACCGUAUCUUCUCCGCUGUGCAAUCCGGUUUUCGAGCUGGUCACAACUACUUCUCAGACAGAGUUCAGAGUGUCAAAUCAAAGGGCCUGUUGUCCGGACCUCUGGCAGUCUCUAUGGGGGUACCACAGGGUUCAAUUCUCGUGCCGACUCUUUUCUCUGUAUAUAUCAACAAUGUCGAUCUUGCUGUGGGUGAUUCCCUGAUCCACCUCUACGCAGACAACACCAUUCUGUAUACGUCUGGCCCUUCUUUGGUCACUGUGUUAACUAACCUCCAAACGAGCUUCAAUGCCAUACAACACACCUUCCGUGGCCACCAAGUGCUCUAA